UACGUAGGGGGCAAGCGUUGUCCGGAAUCAUUGGGCGUAAAGAGCGUGUAGGCGGCCUGGUAAGUCCGCUGUGAAAGUCCAGGGCUCAACCCUGGAAUGCCGGUGGAAACUGUCAGGCUCGAGUCCGGAAGAGGCGAGUGGAAUUCCUGGUGUAGCGGUGAAAUGCGCAGAUAUCAGGAGGAACACCAAUGGCGAAGGCAGCUCGCUGGGACGGUCCUGACGCUGAGACGCGAAGGCGUGGGGAGCGAACGGG
rnacentral:rRNA from 1 species